rnacentral:tRNA from 1 species
AGGAAAAUAGUUCAGUGGCAGAACAGUGGUUUCCAAAACCAAAGGCCAGGGGUUCAAGUCCCUUUUUUCCUG